AGCGAACGCUGGCGGCAGGCUUAACACAUGCAAGUCGAACGAAGUCUUCGGACUUAGUGGCGGACGGGUGAGUAACACGUGGGAACGUGCCUUGAGGUUCGGAAUAACUCAGGGAAACUUGUGCUAAUACCGAAUGUGCCCUUCGGGGGAAAGAUUUAUCGCCUUUAGAGCGGCCCGCGUCUGAUUAGCUAGUUGGUGGGGUAAAGGCUCACCAAGGCGACGAUCAGUAGCUGGUCUGAGAGGAUGAUCAGCCACAUUGGGACUGAGACACGGCCCAAACUCCUACGGGAGGCAGCAGUGGUGAAUCGUGCGCAAUGGGCGAAAGCCUGACGCAGCCAUGCCGCGUGAAUGAUGAAGGUCUUAGGAUUGUAAAAUUCUUUCACCGGGGACGAUAAUGACGGUACCCGGAGAAGAAGCCCCGGCUAACUUCGUGCCAGCCGCCGCCGUAA
rnacentral:rRNA from 1 species